rnacentral:rRNA from 1 species
GAUGAACGCUGGCGGCGUGCUUAACACAUGCAAGUCGAACGAGCCUUCGGGUUAGUGGCGGACGGGUGAGUAACGCGUGAGAAUCUGCCCUCAGGAGGGGGAUAACGGCUGGAAACGGCCGCUAAUACCCCAUAUGCCGAGAGGUGAAAUGAAUUUCGCCUGAGGAUGAGCUCGCGUCUGAUUAGCUAGUUGGUGUGGUAAAGGCUCACCAAGGCAUCGAUCAGUAGCUGGUCUGAGAGGAUGAUCAGCCACACUGGGACUGAGACACGGCCCAGACUCCUACGGGAGGCAGCAGUGGGGAAUUUUCCGCAAUGGGCGCAAGCCUGACAGAGCAACGCCGCGUGAGGGAUGAAGGCCUCUGGGCUGUAAACCUCUUUUAUCAAGGAAGAAGAUCUGACGGUACUUGAUGAAUAAGCCACGGCUAAUUCCGUGCCAGCAGCCGCGGUAAUACGGGAGUGGCAAGCGUUAUCCGGAAUUAUUGGGCGUAAAGCGUCCGCAGGCGGUCUUGAAA